rnacentral:tRNA from 1 species
CUCUGGUUAGCUCCGUUGGUAGAGCGCUUACUGAAAAUGAAGAGGUCCCUGGUUCGAUAUACCAGAACCAGGGG